AUGUCGUGAUAAGGGCACUUUCAUAGUAACUCCUUGAACCACUCCCAUGCCUCAUUCUUCAUCAAGUUGCUGAAAUGAAGUGAUUUCAUUUCAGACCUU
rfam:Gossypium arboreum cultivar AKA8401 contig_57999_1, whole genome shotgun sequence.